UUUAGAAAAAAUUGAAGGACGUCUCAAGAAAUGGAAAUGGAUCUUACCACACAUGUCUUUUAAGGGUCAUGUAUUAGUGAUUAACAACCUAGUGUCUUCUAUGUUGUGGCAUCGCCUGAUGUGUGUAGAUCCUCCGCCACAGCUGCUGGCAAAAAUACAAGCAGUUUUAGUCAACUUUUUCUGGGAUCAUUUACAUUGGGUCCCACAAUGUCUUUUGUUUUUGCCAAAGGAAGAAGGAGGUCAAGGACUCAUUCAUCUCGCUAGUAGAGGUGCUACUUUCAGACACCAAUUUAUAAAAUGACUUCUGUUUGGAGCAGAAAACCUUGUCUGGAGACCUUUGGCCCAUACUAUAUUGAGACAAGGUGGUAAUUUGGGCCUAGCUCAUUCGUUGUUUUUAAUGGAUCUGAAGACUCACAAACUAUGUUUUAUCAUGAUCUUCCUAAGUUUUAUCAUGGGUUGCUUACUGUGUGGGGGAUGUUCCAGAAAUGGAGGACAAGCAGUGAUUCACUGUUUUGGGUGUUGAAAGAGCCAGUGCUGUAUGGGACACGAUUCAACAUAGAGCACUUAGCUGGGUCUUUUAUGACAGCGUUUCAUUUCAGCGGGGAUUGUUACUUUGAAACAUGUCUUUGAUCUAACUGGGCCAAACUUGUUUAAUGCUGAAAAACUGGCGUCUCAUAUAGGAGUCCGAUCUAUCAGGAUUGUAAAUCAUUUGCUCAACAAUUGGAAAUGUGAACUCGCACAGACUGAACUCUCCUUAUGUAAUGAAUAUUGUAAUUGACAUUGUCAACCUAACAGUAAUGAUAUCUUCCCUUCAUUAAUUCUUGCUCCUGAUUUUAAAAACUGCACUGGUCCAUUGCUAGAGUUAAAUGGAACUCUCACAAACAAUGUUGUCACAAUGACAGGUAAAUCCAUGUAUAAGUCUUUUGUCAAGAUUUUAAAUAAAGACAAACUGAAUACUCGAGCUGAUACUCCCUGGAGAGCUCAUUUUGGGCUUGACAAUGAAGUCAAGCCUGUGUGGAGAGCUCUAUAUAAAUCACCGUUAACAAAAAAAGUCGGGGAUUUACAAUGGAGAGUGUUACAUGGAAUUGUGGCUGUCAAUGCUUUUAUUUCUGUUAUUAAUUCUAAUGUAAAUGAAAAUAGUCCAUUCUGUUCGCAAAGGGAAACAGUGUUUCAUUGUUUUUCAGAGUGUAGCAGACUUUGUAAUGUUUUUACAUUGUUGCAACAACUGUUUAUAAUGUUUGGAGAAGUGUUUACUAAAGAUAUGUUUAUUCUUGGAUAUAGAUACAGUCAAAAAAUGCAGACAGAAAUGUCAGCUUUUUAAUUUUGUUUUAGGUCAAGCAAAAAUGGCUAUUUAUAUUAGCAGGAGAAAAAAGGUAGA